rnacentral:rRNA from 1 species
ACGAACGCUGGCGGCGUGCCUAAUACAUGCAAGUAGAACGCUGAAGAGAGGAGCUUGCUCUUCUUGGAUGAGUUGCGAACGGGUGAGUAACGCGUAGGUAACCUGCCUUGUAGCGGGGGAUAACUAUUGGAAACGAUAGCUAAUACCGCAUAACAAUGGAUGACCCAUGUCAUUUAUUUGAAAGGGGCAAAUGCUCCACUACAAGAUGGACCUGCGUUGUAUUAGCUAGUAGGUGAGGUAACGGCUCACCUAGGCGACGAUACAUAGCCGACCUGAGAGGGUGAUCGGCCACACUGGGACUGAGACACGGCCCAGACUCCUACGGGAGGCAGCAGUAGGGAAUCUUCGGCAAUGGGGGCAACCCUGACCGAGCAACGCCGCGUGAGUGAAGAAGGUUUUCGGAUCGUAAAGCUCUGUUGUAAGUCAAGAACGAGUGUGAGAGUGGAAAGUUCACACUGUGACGGUAGCUUACCAGAAAGGGACGGCUAACUACGUGCCAGCAGCCGCGGUAAUACGUAGGUCCCGAGCGUUGUCCGGAUUUAUUGGGCGUAAAGCGAGCGCAGGCGGUUUGAUAAGUCUGAAGUUAAAGGCUGUGGCUCAACCAUAGUUCGCUUUGGAAACUGUCAAACUUGAGUGCAGAAGGGGAGAGUGGAAUUCCAUGUGUAGCGGUGAAAUGCGUAGAUAUAUGGAGGAACACCGGUGGCGAAAGCGGCUCUCUGGUCUGUAACUGACGCUGAGGCUCGAAAGCGUGGGGAGUGAACCGCACUAUAUACCCUGUUAAUCCACGCCGUAAACGAUGAGUGCUAGGUGUUGGAUCCUUUCCGGGAUUCAGUGCCGCAGCUAACGCAUUAAGCACUCCGCCUGGGGAGUACGACCGCAAGGUUGAAACUCAAAGGAAUUGACGGGGGCCCGCACAAGCGGUGGAGCAUGUGGUUUAAUUCGAAGCAACGCGAAGAACCUUACCAGGUCUUGACAUCCCGAUGCUAUUUCUAGAGAUAGAAAGUUACUUCGGUACAUCGGUGACAGGUGGUGCAUGGUUGUCGUCAGCUCGUGUCGUGAGAUGUUGGGUUAAGUCCCGCAACGAGCGCAACCCCUAUUGUUAGUUGCCAUCAUUCAGUUGGGCACUCUAGCGAGACUGCCGGUAAUAAACCGGAGGAAGGUGGGGAUGACGUCAAAUCAUCAUGCCCCUUAUGACCUGGGCUACACACGUGCUACAAUGGUUGGUACAACGAGUUGCGAGUCGGUGACGGCAAGCUAAUCUCUUAAAGCCAAUCUCAGUUCGGAUUGUAGGCUGCAACUCGCCUACAUGAAGUCGGAAUCGCUAGUAAUCGCGGAUCAGCACGCCGCGGUGAAUACGUUCCCGGGCCUUGUACACACCGCCCGUCACACCACGAGAGUUUGUAACACCCGAAGUCGGUGAGGUAACCUUUUGGAGCCAGCCGCCUAAGGUGGGAUAGAUGAUUGGGGUG